rnacentral:rRNA from 1 species
GACGAACGCUGGCGGCGUGCUUAACACAUGCAAGUCGAACGCUGAACCCGCUUCGGUGGGGGAUGAGUGGCGAACGGGUGAGUAACACGUGGGCAACCUGCCCCCGGCUCUGGGAUAACUCCAAGAAAUUGGGGCUAAUACCGGAUGUGACCGCUGGCCGCAUGGUCUGGUGGUGGAAAGGGUUUCCGGCUGGGGAUGGGCCCGCGGCCUAUCAGCUUGUUGGUGGGGUAGUGGCCUACCAAGGCGCGGACGGGUAGCCGGCCUGAGAGGGUGACCGGCCACACUGGGACUGAGACACGGCCCAGACUCCUACGGGAGGCAGCAGUGGGGAAUAUUGCGCAAUGGGCGGAAGCCUGACGCAGCGACGCCGCGUGGGGGAUGACGGCCUUCGGGUUGUAAACCUCUUUCAGCAGGGACGAAGCGCAAGUGACGGUACCUGCAGAAGAAGCACCGGCCAACUACGUG